UGUCACAGCAAGUGUGUCUUCGUCUUACUCAUGGCUCAUUGAGUGUUGACGGCAAUUAGACCUUGACGUGUCUGAGAAUGACUACGACCAAGAAAACGAAAUGCUUCUUGAGUGAAAGGACAUUUGCUUUUUGCGAACCCGUCUAAACCCUGAAAUAGGCACUUCAGAUGUGACCUUCACAAGGCUCUUCUUUGCAUUUAUAUACAGGGCAAGAAAAAAAGGUAGAAUUAAAAAUGACUGAAGUCUCGGCCCUCCCCGGUGGUGCAGCGGGUUAAAGCAC